AACGAACGCUGGCGGCAUGCCUAAACACAUGCAAGUCGAACGGACGGUAGCAAUACCGUUAGUGGCGGACGGGUGAGUAACGCGUGGGAACCUGCCUCGAAGUUCGGAAUAACCGCGGGAAACUGCGGCUAAUACCGGAUGUGGCCUGAGGGUCAAAGGCGCAAGUCGCUUCGAGAGGGGCCCGCGUCCGAUUAGCUAGUUGGUGGGGUAACGGCCUACCAAGGCGACGAUCGGUAGCUGGUCUGAGAGGAUGAUCAGCCACACUGGGACUGAGACACGGUCCGGACUCC
rnacentral:rRNA from 1 species